GGCCAGACUCCUACGGGAGGCAGCAGUGGGGAAUAUUGCACAAUGGGGGAAACCCUGAUGCAGCGACGCCGCGUGAGUGAAGAAGUAUUUCGGUAUGUAAAGCUCUAUCAGCAGGGAAGAAAAUGACGGUACCUGACUAAGAAGCCCCGGCUAACUACGUGCCAGCAGCCGCGGUAAUACGUAGGGGGCAAGCGUUAUCCGGAUUUACUGGGUGUAAAGGGAGCGUAGACGGCAUGGCAAGUCAGAUGUGAAAGCCCGGGGCUCAACCCCGGGACUGCAUUUGAAACUGUCAGGCUGGAGUGCAGGAGAGGUAAGUGGAAUUCCUAGUGUAGCGGUGAAAUGCGUAGAUAUUAGGAGGAACACCAGUGGCGAAGGCGGCUUACUGGACUGUAACUGACGUUGAGGCUCGAAAGCGUGGGGAGCAAACAGGAUUAGAUACCCGAGUAGG
rnacentral:rRNA from 1 species